rnacentral:rRNA from 1 species
GGCGAACGCUGGCGGCAGGCCUAACACAUGCAAGUCGAACGAACUCUUCGGAGUUAGUGGCGGACGGGUGAGUAACACGUGGGAACGUGCCUUUAGGUUCGGAAUAACUCAGGGAAACUUGUGCUAAUACCGAAUGUGCCCUUCGGGGGAAAGAUUUAUCGCCUUUAGAGCGGCCCGCGUCUGAUUAGCGAGUUGGUUGGGGUAAUGGCCCACCAAGGCGACGAUCAGUAGCUGGUCUGAGAGGAUGACCAGCCACAUUGGGACUGAGACCCGGCCCAAACUCCUACGGGAGGAAGCAGUGGGGAAUCUUGAUCAAUGGGCGAAAGCCUGACGCAGCCAUGCCGCGUGUAUGAUGAAGGUCUUAGGAUUGUAAAAUACUUUCACCGGUGAAGAUAAUGACUGUAGCCGGAGAAGAAGCCCCGGCUAACUUCGUGCCAGCAGCCGCAGUAACAC